AAAUUUUCUUUGUUGAUGGCUCAAACUGAGUUGAUAACAGAGAUGGCUAGGAUGGAGUUGGAAGUGAAGCUGCCAAGUGAAGGUGGACAAAUGCUGUUUGCAAUGGAGAUGCAAUCGACCAUUGUAGAAAGAGUUAAGGAGGUACAACUCAAAACUGAUGAGUGUGACCGGAUGAAGGAGCGGCUAGCCAAUGAAAAAGAUACUAAGUAUAGUCUUGAUAAUGAGGGAUUAUUGAGAUUUGAAGGAAGAAUUUGGGUUCCAAAUGAGACGAAAUUAAAGGAGCAGGUAUUGCAAGAGGCUCAUAGUU
rnacentral:lncRNA from 1 species